rnacentral:lncRNA from 1 species
AAAAAUGUAGUAAAAUAUACUCAGUACAAGGGAAAUAUGUAAAUUUACAUUUGUAUAGAAAGUAUUUCAAGAUAUACCAGGACAGAAGCCUUCCCUUCAUCCCCAGUCUCACUUCCUAUAGUCUCACCUGCAAGGCCCUGAUGAGAUUGUCCACUCCUAUCUGCACAUGCCAUGAACAUUGUCAGGCCUCUGAGCCCAAGCCAAGCCAUCACAUCCCCUGUGACUUGCACGUAUAUGCCCAGAUGGCCUGAAGUAACUGAAGAAUCACAAAAGAAGUGAAUAUGCCCUGCCCCACCUUAACUGAUGACAUUCCACUACAAAAGAAGUGUAAAUGGCCGGUCCUUGCCUUAAGUGAUGACAUUACCUUGUGAAAGUCCUUUUCCUGGGUCAUCCUGGCUCAAAAAGCACCCCCACUGAGCACCUUGCGACCCCCACUCCUGCCCGCCAGAGAACAAACCCCCUUUGACUGUAAUUUUCCUUUACCUACCCAAAUCCUAUAAAAUGGCCCCACCCUUAUCUCCCUUUGCUGACUCUCUUUUGGACUCAGCCCGCCUGCACCCAGGUGAAAUAAACAGCCAUGUUGCUCACACAAAGCCUGUUUGGUGGUCUCUUCACACGGACGCACAUGAAAUUUGGUGCCGUGACUCUGAUCAGGGGACCUCCCUUGGGAGAUCAAUCCCCUGUACUCGUGUUCUUCGCUCCAUUAGAAAGAUCCACCUAUGACCUCAAGUCCUCAGACCGACCAGCCCAAGGAACAUCUCACCAAUUUUAAAUCAGGCAAGUGGCCUCUUCUUACUCUCUUCUCCAACCUCUCUCACUGUCCCUCAACCACUUUCUCCUUUCCACUCUUCAAUCUCUCCCUUCUCUUAAUUUCAAUUCCUUUCAUUUUCUGGGAGAGACAAAGGAGACACAUUUUAUCCGUGGACCCAAAACUCCGGCGCCGGUCAUGGACUGGGAAGGCAGGCUUCCCUUGGUGUUUAAUCAUUGCAGGGACGCCUCUCUGAUUAUACACCCACGUUUCAAGGGUGUCAGACCACACAGGGAUGCCUGCCUUGGUCCUUCACCCUUAGCGGCAAGUCCCGCUUUUCUGGGGAAGGGGCAAGUACCCCAACCCCUUCUCUCCUUGUCUCUAACCCUUCUCUGCUUUUCUGGGAGAGGGGCAAGUACCCCUCAACCGCUUCUCCUUCACCCUUAGCGGCAAGUCCCACUUUUCUAUGGGGCAAGAACCCCCAAUCCCUUAUUUCCACACCCCAGCCUCUUAUCUCUGUACCCCAAUCCCUUAUUUCCGCACCCCAACCUCUUAUCUCUGCCCCAAUCCCUUAUUUCCACACCCCGACCUCUUAUCUCUGCACCCCAAUCCCUUAUUUCCUCACCCCGACCUCUUAUCUCUGCACCCCAAUCCCUUAUUUCCGUGCCCCAACCUCUUAUAUCUCUGCACCCUAGUCCCUUAUUUCCACGCCCCGACCUCUUAUCUCUGAGCCCCAACCCCUGUUCCCACUUUUCUGGAAGGUAAGAACCCCUGAACCCCUUCCCUCCAUUUCUCUACUCUCUUCUCUAGGCUUGCUUCCUUCACUAUGGGCAGCCUUCCAACCUCCAUUCCUCCUUCUACUCCCUUGGCCUGUGUUCUCAAAAACUUAAAACCUCUUCAACUCACCACCUGACUUAAAACCUAAAUGCCUUAUUUUCUUCUGCAAUGCCGCUUGACCCCAAUACAAACUCGACAGUAGUUCCAAAUAGCCAGAAAAUGGCACUUUGAAUUUUUCCAUCCUGCAAAAUCUAAAUAAUUCUUGUUGUAAAAUAGGCAAAUGGUCUGAGGUGCCUGACGUCCAGGCAUUCUUUUACACAUCAGUCCCUUCCUAGUCUCUGUGCCCAGUGCAACUCGUCCCAAACCUUCCUUCUUUCCCUCCCGCCUGUCCCCUCAGUACCAACCACAAGCGUCGUUGAGUCUUUCUAAUCUUCCUUUUCUACAGACCCAUCUGACCUCUCCUUUCCUCCCCAGGCUGUUCCUCACCAGGCUGAGCUAGGUCCCAAUUCUUCCUCAGCCUCUUCUCCUCCGCCCUAUAAUCUUUUUAUCACUUCCCCUCCUCACACCUGGUCGGGCUUACAGUUUCUUUCCGUGACUAGCCCUCCCCAACCUGCCCAGCAAUUUACUCUUAAAAAGGUGGCUGGAGCUAACGGCAUAGUCAAGGUUAAUGCUCCUUUUUCUUUAUCCCAAAUCAGAAGCAUUUAGGCUCUUUUUCAUCAAAUAUAAAAAUCCAGCCCAGUUCAUGGCUCGUUUGGCAGCAACCUGAGAUGCUUUACAGCCCUAGACCCUAAAAGGUCAAAAGGCUGUCUUAUUCUCAAUAUACAUUUUAUUACCCAAUCUGCUCCCGACAUUAAAUAAAACUCCAAAAAUUGGAAUCUGGCCCUCAAACCCCACAACAGGACUUAAUUAACCUCACCUUCAAGGUGUACAAUAACAGAAAAAAGUUGCAAUUCCUUGCCUCCUCUGUGAGACAAACCCCAGCCACAUCUCCAGCACACAAGAACUUCCAAACGCCUGAACCGCAGCAGCCAGGCAUUCCUCCAGAACCUCCUCCCCCAGGAGCUUGCUACAAGUGCUGGAAAUCUGGCCACUGGGCCAAGGAAUGCCCGCAGCCUGGGAUUCCUCCUAAGCCACGUCCCAUCUGUGUGGGACCCCACUGAAAAUUGGACUGUUCAACUCACCUGGCAGCCACUCCCAGAUCCCCUGGAACUCUGUCCCAAGGCUCUCUGACUGACUCCUUCCCAGAUCUUCUCGGCUUAGCGGCUGAAGACAGACACUGCCCGAUCGCCUAGGAAGCCCCUUAGACCAACACGGACGCCGAGCUUCGGGUAACUCUCACAGUGGAAGGUAAGCCCAUCCCCUUCUUAAUCAAUAUGGAGGCUACCCACUCCACAUUACCUUCUUUUCAAGGGCCUGUUUCCCUUGCCUCCAUAACUGUUGUGGGUAUUGAUGGUCAGGCUUCUAAACCUCUUAAAACUCCCCAACUCUGGUGCCAACUUAGACAAUACUCUUUUAAGCACUCCUUUUUAGUUAUCCCCACCUGCCCAGUUCCCUUAUUAGGCUGAGACACUUUAACUAAAUUAUCUGCUUCCCUGACUAUUCCUGGACUACAGCUAUAUCUCAUUGCCGCCCUUCUUCCCAAUCCAAAGCCUCCUUUGCGUCCUCCUCUUGUAUCCCCCCACCUUAACCCACAAAUAUAAGAUACCUCUACUCCCUCCUUGGUGACCGAUCAUGCAUCCCUUACCAUCUUAUUAAAACCUAAUCACCCUUACCCUACUCAACGCCAAUAUCCCGUCCCGCAACACGCUUUAAAAAGAUUAAAGCCUGUUAUCACUCACCUGCUAUAGCAUGGCCUUUUAAAGCCUAUAAACUCUCCUUACAAUUCCCCCAUUUUUACCUGUCCUAAAACCAGACAAGCCUUACAAGUUAGUUCAGGAUCUUCGCCUUAUCAACCAAAUUGUUUUGCCUAUCCACCCUGUGGUGCCCAACCCAGUACACUCUUUUGUCCUCAAUAACUUCCUCCACAACUCACUAUUCCAUGCUUGAUCUUAAAGAUGCUUUUUUCACUAUUCCCCUGCACCCCUUGUCCCAGCCUCUCUUUGCUUUCACUUAGACUGACCCUGACACCCAUUAGGCUCAGCAAAUUACCUAGGCUGUACUGCCGCAAGGCUUCAUAGACAGCCCCCAUUACUUCAGUCAAGCCCAAAUUUCAUCCUCAUCUGUUACCUAUCUCGGCAUAAUUCUCAUAAAAACGUACGUGCUUUCCCUGCUGAUCGUGUCCGAUUAAUCUCCCAAACCUCAAUCCCUUACAAAACAACAACUCAUUUCCUUCCUAGGCAUAGUGUGGUCAGAAUUCUUACACAAGAGCCAGGACUGCACCCUGUAGCCUUUCUGUGCAAACAACUUGACCUUACUGUUUUAGCCUAGCCCUCAUGUCUGUGUGCAGUGGCUGCCACUGCUUUAAUACUUUUAGGGGCCCUCAAAAUCACAAACUAUGCUCAACUCACUCUCUACAGUUCUCAUAACUUCCAAAAUCUAUUUUCUUCCUCACACCUGACGCAUAUACUUUCUGCUCCCCGGCUCCUUCAGCUGUACUCACUCUUUAAGUCCCACAAUUACCAUUGUUCCUGGCCCAGACUUCAAUCUGGCCUCCCACAUUAUUCCUGAUACCACACCUGACCCCCAUGACUGUAUCUCUCUGAUCCACCUGACAUUCACCCCAUUUCCCCAAAUUUCCUUCUUUCCUGUUCCUCACCCUGAUCACGCUUAAUUUAUUGAUGGCGGUUCCACCAGGCCUAAUCGCCACACACCAGCAAAGGCAGGUUAUGCUAUAGUACAAGCCACUAGCCCGCCUCUUAGAACCUCUCAUUUCCUUUCCAUCGUGGAAAUCUAUCCUCAAGGAAAUAACUUCUCAGUGUUCCAUCUGCUAUUCUACUACUCCUCAGGGAUUAUUCAGGCCGCCUCCCUUCCCUACACAUCAAGCUCGAGGAUUUGCCCCACCCAGGACUGGCAAAUUAGCUUUACUCAACGUGACCUGAGUCAGAUAACUAAAAUACCUCUUAGUCUAGGUAGAUACUUUCACUGGAUAGGUAGAGGCCUUUCCUACAGGGUCUGAGAAGGCCACCGCAGUCAUUUCUUCCGUUCUGUCAGACAUAAUUCCUCAGUUUAGCCUUCCCACCUCAAUACAGUCUGAUAACAGAUGAGCCUUUAUUAGUCAAAUCAGCCAAGCAGUUUUUCAGGCUCUUAGUAUUCAGUGAAAACUUUAUAUCCCUUACGGUCCUCCGUCUUCAAGAAAAAUAGAAUGGACUAAAGGUCUUUUAAAAACACACCUCACCAAGCUCAGCCACCAAAAAGGACUGGACACUACUUUUACCACUUUCCCUUCUCAGAAUUCAGGCCUGUCCUCGGAAUGCUACAGGGUACAGCCCAUUUAAGCUCCUGUAUAGAUGCUCCUUUUUAUUAGGCCCCAGUCUCAUUGCAGACACCAGACCAACUUAGACUGUGCCCCAAAAAACUUGUCAUCCCUACUAUCUUCUGUCUAGUCAUACUCCUAUUCACCAUUCUCAACUACUCAUAAAUGCCCUGCUUUUGUUUACACUGCCGGUUUACACUGUUUUCCCAAGCCACCACAGCUGAUAUCUCCUGGUGCUAUCACCAAACUGCCACUCUUAACUCUUGAAGUAAAUAAAUAAUCUUUGCUGGCAGGACUAUGCUGAAUCUCCUUAGGCACUCUCUAAUCAGAUAUCCUGAGUCGUCCCAAUUCUUGGACCUUUUAUACCUGUUUUUCUCCUUCUGUUAUUCCAUUUAGUUUCUCAAUUCAUCCAAAACCAUAUCCAGGCCAUCACCAAUCAUUCUAUACGACAAAUGUUUCUUCUAACAUCCCCACAAUAUCACCCCUUACCACAAGACCUCCCUUCAGCUUAAUCUCUCCCACUCUAGGUUCCCACGACGCCCCUAAUCCCACUUGAAGCAGCCCUGAGAAACAUCGCCCAUUCUCUCUCCAUACCACCCCCCAAAAAUUUUCGCCACCCCAACACUUCAACACUAUUUUGUUUUAUUUUUCUUAUUAAUAUAAGAAGGCAGGAAUGUCUAUCUGCUUGAAGUGAGGAGAACAUAUGUUGUUGAGGAAGAGUAAUUAUUUUUAUACACUAUGUAUAAUAGGUGUGCAAUUAAUGUGAAUGAAUGAAUAAAGAAAUCAAUGAAUGAAUGGAAUGAGAUUAUGUUUGUAGACUGAAUGGAAGAAGCCAGUGAAGAGGAAGAGACUGAAAGUAGAGGAAAAGAUGAGAGAAAUAACAGAGCAAGAUUCCCAAGUGAGAGUGGCAAACUCCUGGGCUUGAUCUAGAAUGCUUCUUAUACCCUACACAGG